GUGGUUGUCAGUGAGGACGCUACUCCUGGAGGUUCCCACAGUUACCCAAUCAAACUGCUCUGAACACUUAUUUGACAGUGAGAUGCAGGAAUUGCAGGACAUUCUGACCUCAGCAAAUGUUCAAGACACAAACAAGUAUCAUUCAACAUCCAAAUCAUGGUGUUUGCGCCAAUCUGUAACCCAAGAGGAGUGGCAGAAAGCAAGGUCCUAUCACAUAAACGGCUUGCUGUCCAGCAAUGUGGUUCCAGAACAGAACUGCAGCCACUGCACAUCUCCUGCCAUCAUUCGCUGCAAAGAUUGCAUGCCAGAAGAGUGGCUGUGUAUGGAUUGUGACAUACAUGUAAAAAACUCACCCUUCAUUACAGGGAGUCCUGCAUUGAGGGAAUUUACAAGCUCAUUGAGCCAACAGUGUGCUAUGUAA
rnacentral:lncRNA from 12 species